rnacentral:rRNA from 1 species
GAUGAACGCUGGCGGCGUGCCUAAUACAUGCAAGUCGAGCGAACAGACGAGGAGCUUGCUCCUCUGACGUUAGCGGCGGACGGGUGAGUAACACGUGGAUAACCUACCUAUAAGACUGGGAUAACUUCGGGAAACCGGAGCUAAUACCGGAUAAUAUAUUGAUCCGCAUGGUUCAAUAGUGAAAGACGGUUUUGCUGUCACUAAUAGAUGGAUCCGCGCCGCAUUAGCUAGUUGGUAAGGUAACGGCUUACCAAGGCGACGAGGCGUAGCCGACCUGAGAGGGUGAUCGGCCACACUGGAACUGAGACACGGUCCAGACUCCUACGGGAGGCAGCAGUAGGGAAUCUUCCGCAGUGGGCGAAAGCCUGACGGAGCAACGCCGCGUGAGUGAUAAAGGUCUUCGGAUCGUAAAACUCUGUUAUUAGGGAAAAACAAAUGUGUAAGUAACUAUGCACGUCUUGACGGUACCUAAUCAGAAAGCCACGGCUAACUACGUG